rnacentral:rRNA from 1 species
CCUACGGGAGGCUGCAGUGAGGAAUAUUGGUCAAUGGGCGCGAGCCUGAACCAGCCAAGUAGCGUGAAGGAUGACUGCCCUACGGGUUGUAAACUUCUUUUAUAAAGGAAUAAAGUGAGGCACUUGUGCCUUUUUGAAUGUACUUUCUGAAAAAGCAUCGGCUAACUCCGUGCCAGCAGCCGCGGUAAUACGUAGGAUCCGAGCGUUAUCCGGAUUUAUUGGGUUUAAAGGGAGCGUAGAUGGGUUGUUAAGUCAGUUGUGAAAGUUUGCGGCUCAACCGUAAAAUAGCAAUUGAUACUGGCAGUCUUGAGUACAGUUGAGGUAGGCGGAAUUCGUGGUGUAGCGGUGAAAUGCUUAGAUAUCACGGAGAACUCCGAUUGCGAAGGCAGCUUACUAAACUGCCACUGACAUUGAGGCACGAAAGUGUGGGUAUCAAACAGGAUUAGAUACCCGUGUAGUC